UACGAAGGGGGCUAGCGUUGCUCGGAAUGACUGGGCGUAAAGGGCGCGUAGGCGGCGGACACAGUCAGAUGUGAAAUUCCCGGGCUCAACCUGGGGGCUGCAUUUGAUACGUGUUUGCUUGAGUGGGGAAGAGGGUCGUGGAAUUCCCAGUGUGGAGGUGAAAUUCGUAGAUAUUGGGAAGAACACCGGUGGCGAAGGCGGCGACCUGGUCCUUGACUGACGCUGAGGCGCGAAAGCGUGGGGAGCAAACAGG
rnacentral:rRNA from 1 species